UACGUAGGGACCGAGCGUUGUCCGGAAUCAUUGGGCGUAAAGAGCGUGUAGGCGGCCUUUUAAGUCCUGCGUGAAAUCCUGCGGCUCAACCGCAGACGGUCGUGGGAAACUGGAAGGCUAGAGUGCGGGAGAGGAGAGUGGAAUUCCCGGUGUAGCGGUGAAAUGCGCAGAUAUCGGGAAGAACACCCGUGGCGAAGGCAGCUCUCUGGAACGCAACUGACGCUGAGACGCGAAAGCGUGGGGAGCAAACAGG
rnacentral:rRNA from 1 species